rnacentral:rRNA from 1 species
CCCUUAGAUGUUCUGGGCCGCACGCGCGCUACACUGACGGAGUCAACGAGUUGUCCUGCAUCGGAAGGUGUGGGUAAUCUUUUGAAACUUCGUCGUGCUGGGGAUAGAUCUUUGCAAUUUUCGAUCUUGAACGAGGAAUUCCUAGUAAGCGUGACUCAUCAGAUCGCGUUGAUUACGUCCCUGCCCUUUGUACACACCGCCCGUCGCUACUACCGAUUGAAUGGUUUAGUGAGGCCUCGGGACUGGCGCGCUCGAGUAGCAAUACACCUGCGCGCCGGGAACUUGGUCAAACUUGAUCAUUUAGAGGAAGUAAAAGUCGUAACA